UGGGCCUGGCGACGGUUGUCCAGGUUCAAGUAUGUAGGCGGAAAGUUUAGGUAAAUCCGGACUUUCUUAACGCUGAGAUACGAUGUCGAGCUACUACGGUAGUGAAGUCAUUGAUGCCAUGCUUCCAGGAAAAGCCUCUAAGCUUCAGAUUGUAAGGAAUCGUACCCCAAACCGACACAGGUGGUCGGGUAGAGAAUACCAAGGCGCUUGAGAGAACUCGGGUGAAGGAACUAGGCAAAAUGGUACCGUAACUUCGGGAGAAGGUACGCUCUUAUCAGUGAAGUCCCUUGCGGAUGGAGCAGACGAGAGUCGCAGAUACCAGGUGGCUGCAACUGUUUAUUAAAAACCACAGCACUGUGCAAAAUCGUAAGAUGACGUAUACGGUGUGACGCCUGCCCGGUGCCGGAAGGUUAAUUGAUGGGGUUAGACUUCGGUCGAAGCUCUUGAUCGAAGCCCCGGUAAACGGCGGCCGUAACUAUAACGGUCCUAAGGUAGCGAAAUUCCUUGUCGGGUAAGUUCCGACCUGCACGAAUGGCGUAAUGAUGGCCACGCUGUCUCCACCCGAGACUCAGUGAAAUUGAAAUCGCUGUGAAGAUGCAGUGUACCCGCGGCUAGACGGAAAGACCCCGUGAACCUUUACUACAGCUUGGCACUGAACAUUGAACCUACAUGUGUAGGAUAGGUGGGAGACUAUGAAACCGCGUCGCUAGAUGUGGUGGAGUCGUCCUUGAAAUACCAACCCUUGUAGUUUUGAUGUUCUAACGUUGGUCCCUGAAUCGGGAUUACGGACAGUGCCUGGUGGGUAGUUUGACUGGGGCGGUCUCCUCCCAAAGAGUAACGGAGGAGCACGAAGGUGGGCUAAACACGGUUGGACAUCGUGUGGUUAGUGCAAUGGCAUAAGCCCGCUUGACUGCGAGAAUGACAAUUCGAGCAGGUGCGAAAGCAGGUCAUAGUGAUCCGGUGGUUCUGAAUGGAAGGGCCAUCGCUCAACGGAUAAAAGGUACUCCGGGGAUAACAGGCUGAUACCGCCCAAGAGUUCAUAUCGACGGCGGUGUUUGGCACCUCGAUGUCGGCUCAUCACAUCCUGGGGCUGAAGUCGGUCCCAAGGGUAUGGCUGUUCGCCAUUUAAAGUGGUACGCGAGCUGGGUUUAGAACGUCGUGAGACAGUUCGGUCCCUAUCUGCCGUGGGCGUUGGAAAAUUGAAAGGGGCUGCUCCUAGUACGAGAGGACCGGAGUGGACGAACCUCUGGUGUUCGGGUUGUCAUGCCAAUGGCAUUGCCCGGUAGCUAAGUUCGGAAUCGAUAACCGCUGAAAGCAUCUAAGCGGGAAGCGAGCCUUGAGAUGAGUUUUCCCUGGCACUAUAAGUGUCCUAAAGGGUUGUCGUAGACUACGACGUUGAUAGGCAGGGUGUGUAAGUGCUGCGAGGCAUUGAGCUAACCUGUACUAAUUGCCCGUGAGGCUUAACCAUACAACACCCAAGGGGUUU
rnacentral:rRNA from 1 species